rnacentral:lncRNA from 1 species
GAGCGAGGCGGCGCGAGCGGGUCUCGGGGUCCGCGGUCGGGGUGGCGGGGUUGCCGGGCCUCCUCCGUCCCGGGAACGGGGCCUUUGGAAGCCGUCCGACCCGAGGCCGGCAAGGACCGGAGGCCGAGGGAGCCCUGCCUGCCCGAGUGCAGCCCGCGGGGGCGGCUUUCUGGGCGCGCCUCCUGACGCGGGCGGGGAGUAGUGUUGCCUGGCGAGUGUGGACGCGACGUGGGCAGCGCGUGGUCGCCGGUGCAGUCGGGCGGUCCCUUCAGGCGGACGGCGGGGAGACUGAAACAAACUGACAAUACUUAAGGACUGGGAGCUAGCAAUACGGUUCUGGAGAAGAUGAAGACCACAUUGUCGCACAAACUUGAAGUCUGGAACCGAAGGCCAAGGAGUUCUUGAAACAUCUUUGGUGCAAAAAGGUAGUUUUAUGAAAGCUUGGGCACAGGACCUGUGGGCAGAGAGAGCUGCUGGGGUCAUAAGGGGUGGCCCGUUACAUACUUUAAGGUCAGGAGGGAGUUAGGGAGGGGGUGAGUCUCUAAGGAGUUUGGAAGCAGGGUUCCCAGGACCUGAGGGGGCUAGCUGUUUAUUACCGUCUAAUAAAACCUGAGUCGUGAGACCCUUCAGAUGAGUAUCAGCAGGUCAUGUGGUUGGGAGAUGAUUGCCAACAUGUAUCCUGAGGUUUAGAGAUAAAGCUACCAAAAAUUUUUAUAUGUUCAAGUAGACUCACAGGAUCCGGGAGGAUAAAGCUAGGAUUGUCUCUUGCCCUUAGCCAAUUAUUUAUUUGGUAAGAUUUUAUUUAUUUGUGAGAGACACAGAAAGGCAGAGACAUAGGCAGAAGGAGCAGCAGGCUCCCUGCGAGGAGCUCGAUGUGGGACUCGAUCCCAGGACCCCAGGAUCACAACCUGAGCCAAAGCCAGAUGCUUAACCACUGAGCCACCCAAGUGCCCUGCUCUUAGCCAAGUAUUAAUCAAGGCAGCUGAGGCAGGAAGGUCACCCUGCCUGUUUCAAGGACUUGUCAGUGGGCUGUGGGCAGUAAGGAAACUUAAUUUUUUCUUUUG